CGAGAAGGAGACUUCGGUCUCUGAGUAGAGCGGCGCACGGGUGAGUAACGCGUGGAUGAUCUACCCUUGAGUUCGGGAUAACGGUGCGAAAGCGCCGCUAAUACCGUAUAACAAUCCAUUUCAUCGUGGGUUCAAAGCAGGCCUCUUCAUGAAAGCUUGCGCUUGGGGAUGAGUCCGCGUCCCAUUAGCUUGUUGGCGGGGUAACGGCCCACCAAGGCUACGAUGGGUAGCUGGUCUGAGAGGAUGAUCAGCCACACUGGAACUGAAACACGGUCCAGACUCCUACGGGAGGCAGCAGUGGGGAAUAUUGCGCAAUGGGGGAAACCCUGACGCAGCGACGUCGUGUGAGGGAAGAAGGCCUUCGGGUCGUAAACCUCUGUCAGAAGGGAAGAACAUCCGGGAGUCGAACAGCCUCCCGGCCUGACGGUACCUUCAGAGGAAGCGCCGGCUAACUCCGUGCCAGCAGCCGCGGUAAUACGGAGGGCGCAAGCGUUAAUCGGAAUCACUGGGCGUAAAGCGUGCGUAGGCUGUUUGAUAAGUCAGACGUGAAAUCCCUCGGCUCAACCGGGGAACUGCGUUUGAUACUGUUGAACUAGAGUCCUGGAGAGGGUGGCGGAAUUCCUGGUGUAGGAGUGAAAUCCGUAGAUAUCAGGAGGAACACCGGUGGCGAAGGCGGCCACCUGGACAGGUACUGACGCUGAGGUACGAAAGCGUGGGGAGCAAACAGGAUUAGAUACCCUGGUAGUCCACGCGGUAAACGAUGGAUGCUAGGUGUCGGGGAGCGAUCUUCGGCGCCGCAGCUAACGCAUUAAGCAUCCCG
rnacentral:rRNA from 1 species